rnacentral:rRNA from 1 species
UCAUAUGCUUGUCUCAAAGAUUAAGCCAUGCAUGUCUAAGUACAGACUUUCACAUAGUGAAACCGCAAAUGGCUCAUUAAAUCAGUUAUGAUUUCUUAGAUCGUACAAUCCUACUUGGAUAACUGUGGUAAUUCUAGAGCUAAUACAUGAAACUCCGCUCCGACCUUACGGGAAGAGCGCUUUUAUUAGAUCAAGAUCAAUCGGGGGCCUCCGGGCCACCGUCUAUUGGUGAUUCUGAAUAACUUUGGGCUGAUCGCAUGGCCACGAGCCGGCGACGUAUCUUUCAAGUGUCUGCCCUAUCAACUUUCGAUGGUACGUGAUAUGCCUACCAUGGUUGUAACGGGUAACGGAGAAUCAGGGUUCGAUUCCGGAGAGGGAGC